AAGGAGUUAGUUAAUCCACAUAAUACUGAAUUGUCAAAUCAGAGUAAUAUUUUACUUCUUU
rnacentral:tRNA from 1 species